rnacentral:lncRNA from 1 species
AGGUCUUCAUUUUUGUCUAGCACACUUUCAAAUGGAACAUGAUCUUCAGGGGAGAAUUCAGGUUCUUCGACGAUGGAGCUCGUUUAGAUCAAGGCUCUCUUCGAUGUUUUCUUCAUUUUUUCAUCUUCAACUAUCAUUUAGCACUAGUAAUGGACUGUUAGAGGCUUGCGAUAGCGCAUCCACAUUAAAGAGAGAAGAGGAGAGA